GGGAAGGAUGGUCUAGUGGUUGGGGGGGGUUUGACUCCCAGCCAAAAGGUUCUGGGUUCGAACCCCUGUCCACAGUCUCCCU